rnacentral:piRNA from 1 species
UGAAUGCGCAUAGGAUUUCUCG